UACGUAGGGUGCGAGCGUUGCCCGGAAUUAUUGGGCGUAAAGGGCUCGUAGGCGGUCUGUUGCGUCGGGAGUGAAAACUCAGGGCUUAACCCUGAGCCUGCUUCCGAUACGGGCAGACUAGAGGUAUGCAGGGGAGAACGGAAUUCCUGGUGUAGCGGUGAAAUGCGCAGAUAUCAGGAGGAACACCGGUGGCGAAGGCGGUUCUCUGGGCAUUAACUGACGCUGAGGAGCGAAAGUGUGGGGAGCGAACAGG
rnacentral:rRNA from 1 species